rnacentral:lncRNA from 10 species
CCUAGACCACUAAGGGCCGUGACGUGGUGCCGCUGAGCUUGGACCCCGACCAGAAGAUAGAGAUUGAAACGAUGAGGAAAACGAAGUGCCUAAUCCCCGCUGGACGCUAACUGCAGGGAACAUGGAGGAGACAUAUUUCCACCUAUUUCUCUCCAUAAGUAUAAAAGACCAUAAAAGACCAUCUAGGGACUUCAGAACCCAAAUAAUGACACAAUGUUAAUUUGCAGGUUCUCCCUCUGCCUGCCACCCCACCCAGCAAGGAGGAGAGGAAGUGUUGAGAAGGGAAGAGAUGAGUCCUGGCCCUGUCACUUCUUAGGGGUGUGCUUUUGAACAACCUGCUCACCAUGUAUGAACUUCACUCUUCUUGUUUAUAAAAUGAGGACAAUGACACCUGCAAGACUGUGAGGUUUAAAAACAAAAUCUGUGUUGAGAGGUAACUUGCCUCUUUUACUUACCAAUGAUUUCCUCAAUGCCUGGUGACUGGGGCUGGUUCAUACUAGACGAUCAAUAAAUGCUCCUUGAAUGAAUAGGUGGAUGAAAGAAAUGUCUGGCAUCUAUCACAGGUGCUGGCACUGAUAAGUGCUUGAUAAAUAGGCUGGCUGACUGUGAGUGAUGCUGACGGGCAAAGGACAGAGACACCAGGAAGGAGAACAGGACACGAAAGAUAACUGUCUCAGCCCUUGGGGAGUUUCUGACCCAGGAGGAUGGGAACAUCAAUUAUCAAUAGUUACAGAUCAUUAAAUAAUUGCAAGUGUGAGGCGCACUAUAAAGAGGAGGCUCAGAGUCCCCGCAUGCUCACACUCACACCUGGCCACAGACAGGUGACACCCCUGGCUUGCCCAGGCCAGCGGGUCUGCAAUGAGGCCAAGGACCUGGGCUCUUGAGAAGUUUUAAGUUUGAAAACAUUGCUUUUUAAGCUUAAAACAAUGAACCUUAAUAAAAGUAAACACUUCCAUUGAGCUUUGAAACACUUAAUAGGAGUUAAAAGUAAUUAGGCUAAUAAAAUAGUCUUUUGUUCCAAUUCAAU